rnacentral:tRNA from 1 species
UCUUUAGUAGCUCAGUUUGGCAGAGCGGGUGGCUGUUAACCAUUAGGACGUUGGUUCGAACCCAACCUAAAGAG